UUUGGUUAUGAUUCCACUAAUGAUGAUUAUAAGGUAGUGAGAGGGUACAAUUAUAUAGUUAGGGGUUCUGAGGAAACCAUGGUUCAGGUCUUUCGUUUAAAAUCAGAGGAAAAGUUUCGGGAGAUGCUUCCAUUGCCCUCUCUGGUUGGGUUUAGAUGCGACUUUAUUCCUGGAGAUUGUCUUGGUGUAUAUGAAUAUAGCAUUCUACAUUCAGGCUUAGAAUAUGGAUGAUGAAGGAAUAUGGGGUCAAGGAAUCGUGGACUGAAGUUGCUUCUUUUGAUUUACCAAAAGAUUAUAAAUUCUCACUCGUGACGCCUCUGUGCAUAUUAGAGAAUGGUGAAGGUUUGAUCGCCAGCAGAUGUGAUUUUCAGUCCUUGGUAUUCUAUAGCUUCAAGGAACAGACAUUUAGGAAUGUUUUUAGGACCCACAACGGAUGGAAAUUUGAUGGACUCAUUUACAGGGAGACUUUAGUUUCACCAGUCACCAGUGGAAUUGCAGACAUCUCUAAGGUCAACACUAUUUGUGGGGAGCUAAUUUGUGAGCACCAUGAUGCUCAAGGAAAUCUCCAAAAUGUUUGAACGAAGUUGAAGCUGCUGCAGAGGUGAAGAGCCCAGUUGUAAAUGAAGGUGGAAUUCAGGAAUAGGUGCUCGCAUUAGAUAGACAUGACUUCUGCAUCUCCCUCAAUGUACAACUAAAUUGUUUUGGUUUCACCGACUGCCAGUAUUGAUUUUUAGUUGUUUAAUUUUAUUUCAUUGGUUUUUAGUUGUUUAAUUUUAUUUCAAAAUGUAUCAAGAUAUUUUAUCAGAAGACAAAAUGGUAUAUCUACCAAGAUAGCAAGUCAAAAAAUUUGAAAGAACCUUUACUUUGGAGCAGGCCAAACAGUAAUCACCUGUGGCUCAAAACCAUUGCUUCUUUUCUGGAGCAAGUGGAUAUUUUUAACGGUAGACGGACAUUUUUAACCCAGUGGAAUCCCGGAAGCUACUUUCACUCACAAGGUCAAUAUAAUAAAACGAGACCCUUCCUUCCUUCUCAUAGUCACAAACGGAGUGAGCGAGCAAAACAAAGAGGGAAAAUGGCUUAUCAUGUAUCCUCCACGCCCUCUCUCAUUCACUCUCUUCCUCCUCUAGAAAGCUCAGGCCAACUAACUCUGAUAUUCACACUUUCAAUCUCACCCUCCCUACACUUCACUCCAGAAUUUCUCUCCAAAUAAACCAUGUUUCUUUACAAGAAACCCAGAGCCCAGAUGUCCCAAGACUUGAAAACCCUCCAAGCCCAGAUGGCAAUUCCGAGUCUUCUCCCAAAAGCUAUAUUUGGGUCAAUCCCAGCAGCCCUAGAGCUUCACAGCUCAGGAAGAAAUCCUACGAUUCCAGGUAUGCUUCUUUAGUCAAAGUAGUCGAGUCCUUGAACUCUGGUGAUCCAAGUGAAAGUGAUGUUGUUGGUAUUUUAAAGGGUUUAUUGAAUUAAGGCUAAGUUUAAUACAGUUGUACGAGGUAUAUAACUAUAUUUAGUACUUUAUACAGUGAAGAAAUGUCAGAUGUUGACAUGGGGGGUCUUGACCCCUUCACCAUUUAUAGUCGUUCCGUCCCUGUAUUCAAUUAUUUCAGCCCAGACUCUGUCCAAAACAUCAGAUCUCAUCUGAUCGAGCACUCACUGCUACAACAAUGGGGGAAAAGAAGGUGACUAUAAUGAUUCUGAAGGUAGACCUUCAGUGUGAAAAAUGCUACAGGAAGGUCAAAAAAGUUCUCUGUAAAUUCCCUCAAAUACGAGACCAGACGUACGACGAGAAGAACAACCUGGUGAUCAUCAAAGUGGUCUGCUGCAGUCCUGAAAAGAUCAGGGAUAAGCUAUGCUGCAAAGGAGGUGACGCCAUUAAGAGCAUCGAUAUCAAAGAGCCCGAGAAGCUCAAGCCUCCUCCUACGGAUGCCAAGUCUACGGAUGGCAAAUCCACGGAUGACAAAUCCAAAGAAGCCAAGGACGUGUCUAAAGAGAAACAAAAGGAAGAAAAAACCAAAGACGGCGAGAAGCUGAAGGAUGAGUCGAAGCUGAAGAACCCGUGUUGUAUGGAUUGUUACGGAGGACGUCCUGGUGGUCCCUGCGAAACUCGCCCUCCGCGGCGGUCGGUGAACCCAUGUUGUAUGGAUUGUUACGAAGGGCGUCGUGGUGGUCCCUGUGAAACUGGGUAUGGUUACGGUAGGCUUGCCCUUUACCUACAGUACGAUGGCUACUAUGGAAGGCCGGUCUAUGAUAGUUACGGCGGUGGGAGGAGCUAUACUACUAGUUACUGCGUGACCCGCCCCGAUUGUUUCAGUGAAGAAAAUCCCCAAGCGUGCGUCAUCAUGUAAAACCAUAUAUACGUACCUAGCUACUGUGCCUUUUGCUGCCUUUGUGGGGAAGUUUCCAUCAGGUUGCGAUCAGUUAUUCGAUUAAUGAAAUAGAAGUUUCCAAAAAUCAUUUGCAUAAAAUCUGUGUCAGUAUGUUUGUAUGUGCUUCCAUGCAUGACUGAACAGAUCAUUGCUAUCCUGGAGCCAGAGUUAUGACUAAGACCAACUAGUAUUAUUUGUAGUUCGUCUGAUUUCAACAAUUCAAGUCGUGUUUUGUUUUAAUGAAAGAUUCCAACUUUAUUAUGUUUUUCUGUAUUCAAUCAAAUGUUGGACUCGGAGAGGAUAUUUCUUUUAGAAAAAUAGAAUGGUUGGUUUGCUUCCUUAUUGGGCUGGCCUCUUUAUCUUAUUUAGAUUAGAAAAUGCACGACUUUUUCAAUAGCAAUACAUCUCCUGGAUUGAGUUAUUGGUGCUGGUACUGCUUUAUUUCCUGUUCUUUCUCUAAUUGUUGUCUUUACAGUCACCCACUUUAAUCGUUUCUUAUUAAAAAAAAAUUUAUCAGGAAUCUCAUUGG